UUUACAAAUUUAUUGUGAGAAAAAUUACUUACUUAUAUUAUUAUUACUUAAUUAUUAAAUUUUUUUAAUUUUAUAAUGUAAUUUGAUAUUAAGGAUUUUGGAUAUAUUACAAAUAUUACAUAUUUUACAAAGGAACUUUUUAUCGAAAUUAUAGAGAGGAAAAGUAAAAAUGGUGUUGUCGCUAUUAUUUCGAUGCUAAUCGACUAUUUUACAGAAAAAUCGUAAUUUAUCAGGAAUUUUAAGCGAAACAAAGGGAAAAAAAAACAAUAUUUAAAAAUGAAUUCCGGCGUCAUUCUUUGAAUAAACUAAAAAUAAAAUAAG